CGGCUGGGGCAGGGCAGCGGGCUGCGGGCGUCGCUGGCCACCUGGAGGGCGCGUCCCGGGGCGCAGGCGCUGCAAGACGCCCCGCUCGGCCUCUGAGGCCGGGUGCACUUGGCGGUGGCUGCUGGCUCGGGCUUUAAAGUCACCGUCAGCGCCGGUUCAGGGCGCCCUCCCAUUCCAGCCCCAAAGCCACCCAUCCUAGAGGGCCCUGGAUGGAAAUUUGGAAGAAAGCCUGGUCCAGUCCGGAGGCCCAGGGUCCUCCGGGCUUCAGAAGGACGUCUAGGCGAACGCUGGAGGUUGUGGACGGUCCGUAAAAGGGUGGGAAAGAACAGAAUCUGUUACCACCCAGUCCUUCUCUGGAGACCUCUGCAGCAGAAAGGCUCGGGAGCGAGCGUCCCCACGUCCCAACCCUGGCCCUCCCGGCGUCCAAGGCCCACCCACCCGAAUGAUUACAAAGCCAUGUACUUAAACUAGCUCACCUGACUGCCUCCCAAAAAAUGGUGUCCAGUUUUCAGAGUUGUUAAAGUCACUCCAACCUCUAGGGUCCUCCAGGUCCUAGUCCUGCAGGGACAUGCCAAAGCCCUGAGGGCAGAAGAUUGCAGUCUGAGAAAGACCACGCAAUUGCCAAGCCUCUCAUUGGAGGUUCUGGCAAUUUCCUCACCAGAAGUGGACAAGGCCAGUUGGUCGUGCAUCAUCAUGCCUCAGCAGCUCCUGAUCACCCUGCCCAAGGCCAGUACCUGGGUGAAGUUACACCAUCCAAGGAAGGCCAAGGAGGAGGCGCCCUCAUGGGAGGAUGUGACUAAAAUGUUUGAAGAAGAAGUUCUGCUGUCUCAGGAUGCUGCUGAGACCCAGGAAGAAAGUUUAGAGGAUGAAUUGACCCCUGACCUCCUGACAGCAGAACCCCAGGUGGGUUGGAGCUUCCUCAUUUUUUUAAUAAUGCUUCUUGUUUUUUAACCUGUCUGUUUUGGGAGAAGUGAGUGGGUUGAGACGAACAAGUUCAACUAUGCGAGUUGCUCUCAUUCAGAAACUUGAGCUUCUGUGGUGACGGUAUCUCUGCUCAUAGGGGCCUUCCUGCAACUCUUGUUUCUCACCAGCAUCUUGAUCUGAUAUUGUGCUAUUUUUUGUAGAGAACGCAUAAUGAAUGAUAUUUCCAGCUCCUAAAAACCAAUGGAUUUUACUUGGGAUCUAAGAUAAAUGUCAAUAUAAUAUUCAAAAUCCAUAAGUGAGAUGAAAUUCUGACAUUCUUAGUGAUAUAUCCAUAUCACUGUGAACUCUUUAAGAGAUGACCCUUGGCAAAGUGAGAAGAAAUGGCCACAUCUUUGAGGUGGGGCAAAGAGCAGGAGCAGCUUUAAGAGCAGUUAGGAUAGCGUGUCAGAAAUGGGGUCUUCACCAUCUGGUGGAAACAUGGGUAAAACAAAAGGAAAUUAAAAGACUUUUACAGAGGUAUUAUUGGAGACAGAAGAGUUGUUUUUUUUAACAUUUAUUUUUUAGUUUUAGGUGGACACAAUAUCUUUAUUUUAUAUCCAUCCCAGUGCCUCAUGCAUGCUAGGCAAGCACUCUACCACUGAGCCACAACUCCAGCUCAACACAAGAGUUUUAAGUAAAAAGAACUUUAAAUCUGAAAUUAGAUGAUAUUGGAUUUGAUUUUAUCUGGUAUUAGAUGGUGCACAGUUUGAUUUUCUCUCAUCUUCCUUGCUUGGUGUCUAGGGCAAUUUUUUUUUUUCUUUUGGCUCUUUACAAUCUAUUUCCUUAGCUAAGAAAUUUAGAUGUUAAUGUCUGCCUUCUAGGGUUAAAAUUCAUUCCAGUUAUUUAUGGUAAUAUGGAAGAAAUCAUAGUUAGUUAAAUAAUAUAUUAAUUAUUUAAAGAAUCAUCUUUUCUCUACAUUCCACAUAUCUGGAAUCCCUCACUUCCUAACAUUUAUCAAAAAGUAGAUUCCUUAGCGAUGGGAAAGGAUUAAAUUUUUUUUAAAUUGAAGUAUAAAUGACAUACAGGAAAAUACAUUUAGGAAAUGUAUUCUAUUUUGACAUGUGCAUGUACCCAUGUAAUCAAAUUAAUAAAGAGAACAUUGCCUCCAUCUCAGAAAAUUCCUUCUUGUGCUUUCCAAUUUGUACUCUGCUCCAGCCCUCAUAAGGAAUACAUGAAAUUUGUAUUACUUAUUAUAAUUGCAUAUAAAUCCACAAAUGUCUUUUUUAAAAAAUAUUUUUUA